rnacentral:rRNA from 1 species
GACGAACGCUGGCGGCGUGCCUAAUACAUGCAAGUCGAGCGCAGGAAACCGUUCCGAACCCUUCGGGGGGACGACGGUGGAAUGAGCGGCGGACGGGUGAGUAACACGUAAAGAACCUGCCCAUAGGUCUGGGAUAACCACGAGAAAUCGGGGCUAAUACCGGAUGUGUCAUCGGACCGCAUGGUCCGCUGAUGAAAGGCGCUCCGGCGUCGCCCAUGGAUGGCUUUGCGGUGCAUUAGCUAGUUGGUGGGGUAACGGCCCACCAAGGCGACGAUGCAGCGCCGACCUGAGAGGGUGAUCGGCCCCACUGGGACUGAGACACGGCCCAGACUCCUACGGGAGGCAGCAGUAGGGAAUCUUCCACAAUGGACGAAAGUCUGAUGGAGCAACGCCGCGUGAACGAUGAAGGCUUUCGGGUCGUAAAGUUCUGUUGUAAGGGAAGAACAAGUGCCGCAGGCAAUGGCGGCACCUUGACGGUACCUUGCGAGAAAGCCACGGCUAACUACGUGCCAGCAGCCGCCGUAA